GGUAGCGACUCGCUUAGCGACUGCCAUGCUUGAUAUAAAGGUCCUUACAAAGCUAGCCUCUUUGAAUUUAUUCAUCUCUUUGUCUAAAGAAAAUCUUCAGUCGUUCUUAUUUCCUCAGAAUAGAAGUAAGAAGAGUUCUGAAGACGUUAUUCACAAUAAUGGAGCUAACAAUGUACAAUUGGCAUUGAAUCCUGCCACGAAAGAAAUUGUAUAUCACCUGAGUGUGAUGAAUCUGGAGCAGAAGCUGGCUCUUAUUGUUAGUGACCGUUCCAACAAAAUUAAACCAUUAUCUGGAUCAUAUUAUGUCAAUGAUACUAUUUUGCAGGCUACAAAAUUAACUGUAAUAAGAGAAAAGACAAUUCCAAAAACUGUGAAUGUAAUUUCAGCUGAAACUGGAUUUAAAGAACAGGCUGAAAUGAUAAAAUUGUAAAGCAGGAAGGCCAGAUCAAGAACUCAAACUCAAUGUUUUGUACAGAUAAAAGCAAGGGAAUCCUGAUCGGUGAUGACGUAUACUGCACAUCAAAGUUAUACAAGACUGCAGAGGCGUCAAACUCUGCUACUAAAGCAGUCAGAUGUCUAUUGGAGGGUUUAUAUUGGACUCACUUCUUCAGUGUACUGUGUCUGGUCUUCUGCCAAGACGCAAGAGUCGCCAAGCCUAUGCAGACCCAAGUUCUAUUAAAAAAUUUCUAGAUUUCCCUGCUGGAGAUGCAAUUAUUGAUAAGGCUCUCGAAUGGCAGAAAUUCAAACAUUGGCGUCUUAAAAAGGAUUCUACUCACAGAGUGGUAUGGCAGUGCGUCUCUGCGAAAUCAGGGAAAGAGAGCAAAAGCGCCAGUCUAAUGAAUCCAGAGUAUAAUAUCUCUUACAAAUAUCAUGACAAAAAGUUGUUUAGCGAUUCUUCCAUGCAGUAUCGAUCUUUAGUUUGAUGAAAUAUAUUAAUAACUUCUUCAUUUUUAUUUUCUUUUGAGCUAGCAAAUUGUAUUCUAAGUUUUUAUGAUUAUGAUAAAUAUUUU